AGACCGCGAACACGUGUUAAUAAGCUCCGCCGGCCUAACGCUUGCGUCCGGCCGGCUAACGAACCCCGGCGCGGCAAGCGCCAAGGAAAACUCAAAGGAUUCGUCGUCCCCCCGGCGCCCGUCCGCGGUGCGUCUCGGGUGCGCGACGUCCCUCGAAUGUCUAAACGACUCUCGGCAACGGAUAUCUCGGCUCUCGCAUCGAUGAAGAACGUAGCGAAAUGCGAUACUUGGUGUGAAUUGCAGAAUCCCGUGAACCAUCGAGUCUUUGAACGCAAGUUGCGCCCGAAGCCUUCUGGCCGAGGGCACGCCUGCCUGGGCGUCACGCAUCGCGUCGCCCCCUCCGAAUCCUUAGGGACGAACGGGCGGGAGCGGAAAUUGGUCUCCCGCGAGCCUCCGGGCUCGUGGCCGGCCUAAAUAAGAUCCCGCAUCGACGGAUGCCUCGACCAGUGGUGGUGGUAAUCCGCUCUAUUGCUGUCGAGCCGCACGUCGCUUGCCGGGCAUCGCUCGAAACCCAACGGCGCUUCGCGCGCCUUCGACCGCGACCCCAGGUCAGGCGGGACUACCCGCUGAGUUUAAGCAUAUCAUAAGCCGCAGGACUUACACUUCACUCCCAUU
rnacentral:rRNA from 1 species